rnacentral:rRNA from 1 species
UACGUAGGUGGCAAGCGUUGUCCGGAAUUAUUGGGCGUACAGCGCGCGCAGGCGGCCUCUUAAGUCUGAUGUGAAAGCCCCCGCUCAACCGGGGAGGGCCAUUGGAAACUGGGAGGCUUGAGUAUAGGAGAGAAGAGUGGAAUUCCACGUGUAGCGGUGAAAUGCGUAGAGAUGUGGAGGAACACCAGUGGCGAAGGCGACUCUUUGGCCUAUAACUGACGCUGAGGCGCGAAAGCGUGGGGAGCAAACAGG